rnacentral:rRNA from 1 species
UACGGAGGGAGCUAGCGUUGUUCGGAAUUACUGGGCGUAAAGCGCGCGUAGGCGGCUUUGUAAGUUAGAGGUGAAAGCCCGGGGCUCAACCCCGGAACUGCCUUUAAGACUGCAUCGCUUGAAUCCGGGAGAGGUGAGUGGAAUUCCGAGUGUAGAGGUGAAAUUCGUAGAUAUUCGGAAGAACACCAGUGGCGAAGGCGGCUCACUGGCCCGGUACUGACGCUGAGGUGCGAAAGCGUGGGGAG